GGGGUUGUGGCUCAAGUGGUAAAGUACUCACCCAGCACGUGUGAGGCACUGGGUUCGAUCCUCAGCACCACA
rnacentral:tRNA from 1 species